AUCAGGGGCUGUCACAUCGAUUGACACAGCUGACGUUCCCUGUGUACCUCAUACCUGCGUAGAACCCGCUGUCUCCAGUGACAGGCUUUUCUCUCGUUUCCUCGUGGAUAAUACUGUGUUAUUACCGCAUCGUAGUAUAGGUGUUGCAAAGGGAAGCGCCGUCCUAAAGGUCUCUGUCCAUUACAGGGUCUAUUGCUGCAUUGUGUGCCCCUUCACCAGAGUUCAUCAGAGCGCAGUGGUCUCCUUCUUUGACGAAGAGCGGAUGGGAAGUAGUCUUUUAAGUGCUGAUGGACUCGCCACGAGCUACGACUCAAAGGUUGGCGCCUGACAUUAUAAAAUUUAAUUGUGUCCUCCAGCGUCCUAGCAACUCUAGCUAGCCAGGUGAAAACGACCCCGCCGCUGCCAGCCACGAGAUGAAAAAGCGUUAAUCCUCCCCUCUUGUGUCGAUGGUGCCCAACGUCUGAACUCAUGCUGGAAGAGUUGAGAUUUGCAUCUCUCAGCGCUGGGAAGAAGAAAUUCCGGUUCCAACAACAUAAAGCGGUGGUGAGGCCGCUCUACCUGUGAAGGAUCUGAACUUGCACAUCAUAUUUCCACCAGCGACCCCGGGUGUGAGUCACUGUCCUCUCUUACGGUUAAACCAAGGCUUUGUCUCCUCCACUAUAGCUGACUCCACUCCAGCUAUUUGAAUCUUUACUAAUACUGAUGUUGCUAAUGAAUCUAGAUUCAGGAUCAAAUGUUUUUUUGGAAGGUGACAACUUAUUCCUCAUGUCGUGUGGGCAAAAUAAAGAAAAAUACUGAGAUGAACUGC
ensembl:lncRNA